AGAAUCAACGCUGGCGGCGUGCCUAACACAUGCAAGUCGCACGAGAAAGGGGAGCAAUCCCUGAGUACAGUGGCGCACGGGUGAGUAACACGUGAAUAAUCUACCUCCGAGUGGGGAAUAACUGAGAGAAAUCUUAGCUAAUACCGCAUAACACUUACGAGUCAAAGCAGCAAUGCGCUUGGAGAGGAGUUCGCGGCAGAUUAGUUAGUUGGCGGGGUAAUGGCCCACCAAGACGAUGAUCUGUAUCCGGCCUGAGAGGGCGCACGGACACACUGGAACUGAAACACGGUCCAGACUCCUACGGGAGGCAGCAGUGGGGAAUUUUGCGCAAUGGGGGAAACCCUGACGCAGCAACGCCGCGUGGAGGAUGAAGCCCCUUGGGGUGUAAACUCCUUUCGAUCGGGAAGAUAAUGACGGUACCGAUAUAAGAAGCCCCGGCUAACUUCGUGCCAGCAGCCGCAGUA
rnacentral:rRNA from 1 species